rnacentral:rRNA from 1 species
ACGAACGCUGGCGGCGUGCCUAAUACAUGCAAGUCGAACGGUCUUUCUAUGGAAGCUUGCUUCCACUGAGAAGAUAGUGGCGAACGGGUGAGUAACACGUGGGUAACCUGCCCAUAAGAGGGGGAUAACAUCCGGAAACGGGUGCUGAUACCGCAUAGUUUUCUUGAUUGCAUGAUUGAGAAAGGAAAGACGGCCUUUGUGCUGUCGCUUAUGGAUGGACCCGCGGCGUAUUAGUUAGUUGGUGAGGUAACGGCUCACCAAGACGAUGAUACGUAGCCGACCUGAGAGGGUGAUCGGCCACAUUGGGACUGAGACACGGCCCAAACUCCUACGGGAGGCAGCAGUAGGGAAUCUUCCGCAAUGGACGAAAGUCUGACGGAGCAACGCCGCGUGAGUGAAGAAAGGUUUUCGGAUCGUAAAACUCUGUUGUCAGAGAAGAACAAGUUGGAGAGUAACUGCUCCAGCCUUGACGGUAUCUGACCAGAAAGCCACGGCUAACUACGUGCCAGCCGCAGC